AUUGAACGCUGGCGGCAGGCCUAACACAUGCAAGUCGAACGAGGGGCGGACGGGUGAGUAAUGUCUGGGAAACUGCCUGAUGGAGGGGGAUAACUACUGGAAACGGUAGCUAAUACCGCAUACCAUCAGAUGUGCCCAGAUGGGAUUAGCUUGUUGGUGGGGUAACGGCUCACCAGGGCGACGAUCCCUAGCUGGUCUGAGAGGAUGACCAGCCACACGGGAACUGCGACACGGCCCGGACUCCUACGGGAGGCAGAAGUGGGGAUUAUUGCACAAUGGGCGCAGGCGUGAUGCAGCCAUGCCGGGUGUAUGAAGCAGGCCUUCGGGUUGUAAAGUACUUUCAGCGGGGAGGCGUUACCCGCAGAAGAAGCACCGGCUAACUCCGUGCCAGCCGCCGCGGUAAUUC
rnacentral:rRNA from 1 species